rnacentral:misc_RNA from 1 species
UAAACGUGACAUUUAAUGUGACUUGCAACGGUCGUGAAUCAUCAAGUUUUUGAACGCAUACCGAACUGUUUUGCCUCCGGGCAAAAUGGUACUUGUUUAUCAGUGUCAGUUUUUUUUAUUCAGCUACAAACCUUCGAUGGAGAUUAAUGGUCAACGAGAGAGGCAACUCUCUUCAAUCUUCAAAGUUGGUUCAAGGUUUCGACAUGAUCGAGCACUUUUUUCAAUAGCGAAAAAUUUCAUAGACACCAAAACUUGGAAUUGACCAAGCCAAUUUUUUGUGUUAUACCGUGAGAUUUUUCAACUUUGAAAGCAUUAAUUUCUGACCUGAUUUAUGAGUGGAUACCCACUGAAUUUAA